rnacentral:rRNA from 1 species
CGCGUAGGCGGUCAGCACAAGUCAGUUGUGAAAUCUCCGGGCUUAACUCGGAAAGGUCAACUGAUACUGUGCGACUAGAGUGCAGAAGGGGCAACUGGAAUUCUCGGUGUAGCGGUGAAAUGCGUAGAUAUCGGGAGGAACACCAGUGGCGAAGGCGACUACCUGGCCUGUUCUUGACGCUGAGGCGCGAAAGCUAGGGGAGCAAACG